GGAAGAAGAUAAAAGCGGGAAAAUUUCCUGCCAACCGUCAGAUUUUUUUCUUUUUUUUUCUCUUGCAAUGGCUUGCAGUGCCACCAUCCAGCCUCUGUUGAACUUUGAACUCUCACACUCACACCAACCAAAGAGACCUUACUCUCUCCCUUUAUGUUCCUUCAUUAAAAAGCCAAGACUUUCUCCGAAGCACUUUUUCUCUCAAUCCAAAGAUUACACCAAGAUCAACAUUUUUUCAAGCCCAUCGCUGUUUUCUAGGCAGAAACCCGGAUCCCAUGUUGCUGCCCAGAGUGAUUAUUCUUCAGGGGAAGAAGCAGAGUCACUUUUACCUGACUCAGCUUACCAAGAGCCUUUUUCUUGGUCUUCAGUGAUUUUGCCAUUUUUGUUUCCAGCUCUGGGAGGGUUAUUAUUUGGCUAUGAUAUUGGUGCCACCUCUGGUGCUACAAUCUCUUUGCAGUCACCAGAGCUUAGUGGAACUACUUGGUUCAAUCUCUCAGCUAUUCAGCUGGGUCUAGUGGUCAGUGGCUCUCUUUAUGGGGCCCUUCUCGGUUCCCUCCUUGUCUAUCCAGUUGCAGAUUCCCUAGGAAGGAGGAGGGAACUCCUCAUUGCUGCUUUACUAUAUGUGCUUGGUGGUGUGCUGACUGCUUUUGCUCCAGGCCUUAGUGUUCUCUUAGUAGGACGGCUACUCUAUGGCCUGGGUAUUGGAUUAGCCAUGCAUGGGGCUCCGCUCUACAUAGCAGAAACUUGCCCGUCUCAGAUACGUGGUACACUAAUAUCUCUAAAGGAACUAUUUAUAGUUCUGGGAAUUUUGUUGGGGUAUUUUGUGGGAAGCUUCCAAAUUAAUGCUGUUGGGGGAUGGCGAUACAUGUAUGGGUGUAGUGCCCCAGUCGCAUUAUUGAUGGGACUAGGAAUGUGGAGUCUCCCGCCAUCACCACGUUGGUUAAUUCUCAGAGCGGUUCAAGGUAAAGGGUCUUUACAAGAACUCAAAGAGAAGGCCAUCCUUGCCCUAAGCAAACUUCGGGGUCGGGCUCCGGGUGAUGAAGCAUCUGAGAAACAAAUAGAAGAUACCUUAAUCUCAGUGAAGUCUGCCUAUAUGGAACAGGAAUCUGAAGGAAAUAUCUUGGAGGUAUUUCAGGGGCCAAGUUUGAAAGCCUUCAUAAUUGGUGGAGGUUUAGUCCUUUUUCAACAGAUAACUGGCCAACCAAGUGUUCUGUAUUAUGCUGGUCCAAUUCUACAGAGUGCUGGAUUCUCUGCAGCUGCUGAUGCUACCCGCCUUUCUGUUGUUGUAGGUUUGUUCAAGUUACUGAUGACUUGGAUAGCUGUUGCAAAAGUUGAUGAUCUUGGUAGAAGGCCUUUGCUGAUUGGAGGUGUUGGUGGGAUUGCUCUUUCCUUGUUUCUGCUCUGUGCUUAUUACAAAUUUCUUGGAGAAUUCCCUUAUGUUGCUGUAGCUGCUCUACUUCUCUAUGUCGGUUGCUAUCAGAUAUCUUUUGGGCCCAUCAGUUGGCUGAUGGUGUCUGAAAUUUUCCCUCUGCGAACAAGAGGGAAAGGGAUUAGUCUUGCAGUUCUCACUAACUUUGGUUCAAAUGCUAUAGUCACCUUCGCAUUCUCACCAUUGAAGGAGCUGCUAGGGGCAGAAAAUCUUUUCCUUCUUUUUGGUGUUAUUGCUCUGAUAUCACUUUUGUUUGUGGCCCUCUAUGUCCCGGAGACUAAAGGUUUGAGUUUGGAAGAGAUUGAAUCCAAGCUCUUGAAGUGAAAAGCUCCAUGAUCCCUACUGUUCGUCAACAUAUCAGUGAAGACCGUAUGCUCUACUGUGGGAUUUGAAACAUGGUUGAAAAUAGUGAAGUGGUUUAUGAGUUGGAACCAUUUUGAGGAGUUGACAAAAGGUGGUUGGUUUUCAGUUUUCACUUCGGGCAUCUUGUAAAGUUUGGGGUGUACCCUAGACUUCAUAUAUUUGCUAUAUCGAUUAGACCUCAACCGAUAAGAAAAAACCCCUCAUUUGAACUAGAAGGCAUUUUGUUUGUCUCAUUGAUUGGGGUAGCAAAGCAUUUUAUUUUGGGCUGGAGUUCAUUUGCCUUGUAGAUUAAAGGGUCGAAGGAGCAUUUUAAUUUUCAAAUGUUUUCGACUAUCUUAUGACAAGUUUCGUAACCUCUCACUAAGAUAUUUUGAAACCUCUUUCAAUGUC